rnacentral:rRNA from 1 species
UACGGAGGGGGCUAGCGUUGUUCGGAAUUACUGGGCGUAAAGCGCACGUAGGCGGCUUUGCAAGUUAGAGGUGAAAGCCCGGGGCUCAACUCCGGAAUUGCCUUUAAAACUGCAUCGCUAGAAUUGUGGAGAGGUAAGUGGAAUUCCGAGUGUAGAGGUGAAAUUCGUUAGAUAUUCGGAAGAACACCAGUGGCGAAGGCGACUUACUGGACACAUAUUGACGCUGAGGUGCGAAAGCGUGGGGAGCAAACAGG